rnacentral:lncRNA from 1 species
GCCUUUGCACUGAGCGCUGUUUUAUGGUUUAUUUUGGCACAGGCUGAGCUUGAACUUGCGACGUGCCAGCCUCCCAGAGUGCCCGGAUGAUACCCGUGCAGGUCCACCGCACUGUACCUACGUCGGCUUCGUACCCCAUGAUGCAUCGGGCGGCCUCGCCCGUCUGUCUGGCCUGGAGCUGGAAUGCUGGCCUGGCCUUGGUGUCGCCAGUUUCCUCUCCGCUGAUGUCUUCCUGAAGCUCGUGACGGGACCUGGACCCUGUCCAGCUAGAUGCCAGCACUGUGGACAUGCCUGGUAUCACCGUCAGUCAAACGGAUCGAAGGAUGUCAAACUCCUACCCCAUGAGCCUUGCGGGCACUGGGGUCCAUUCCAAUAUCCCAAGUUGGAGGCCAUCCUGGGCAGUGUAGUUCAAGGGCCGCCCAGACUACACAACCGGAGCCUGUCUCAAGAAACAAAAUAAAACUAAACAAAAAUCACAAAAAUACAAUGUGGUGUUUAUGCACGAUGGAGUACUACUCUGCCAUGAACAAGGAUACACGCUGUCAGCCUUACCAUGAUCCCGUCGCUCGGGUUUGUACAGAAGGUGCAGGUGGUUUACGGAAGGCUCCAGAAAGGAAGCCUCGCAGCCAGACAGAAGCCAACACCAAAAUCACUGUCAAAAACAAAG